UUUCUGUUGCGAACUUAAUCAGGAAGGGAUAUCUCCAAACCUGACAUUUGGACCUCAUUUUGGAAUGGAUGUUAGUCACCAACAUGAACUGCCUAAUCAACCAAGGAUGAUGCCGAACAACUUUAUGCAGGUUUUUGCUAUGCACAGAUCUUCAUAAUAUUCUAUGAACAACCGUGCUGAUUUAUAAUAUUCUAUGACCUGACAUUUGGACCUCAUUUUGGAAUGGAUGUUAGUCACCAACAUGAAAUGCCUAAUCAACCAAGGAUGAUGCCGAACAACAUAUUCCUCUUUGUUUUCAACCUUUUAGUUACUAUAAACAACCAUGCUGAUUUAUAUGUUAACCAUCUUCUCCUUGUGCAUUUCCGACUAGUGGGAUCAAUGCCUUUCUGUUUAAAACGUUUCAGGUACAAGCAGAUCCCCAUGUUUUCGGAAAUCAGUGGGCUUACAACCCAACGAUGCAGGUCUGUCCGCACACAAAUGACUGUCCCUUUUUUCUUGCAACCUUGAAACUUAUUAGCCUAUGUUUUAAGAUGCAUGCUAGUUCACAUUUUC
rnacentral:lncRNA from 1 species